GGGGUUGUGGCUCAGUGGUAGAGCGCUCGCCUCGAAUGUGCGAGACCCUGGGUUUCAAGCCUUAACACCA
rnacentral:tRNA from 1 species